GAAUGCACCGCGGCCGCAGCUUGCUUAUGGACAGCGCUAACAGAGAUCACAGUGGGACCACAGAAGGAACCCAGGCCCUCAUCAACUGGCGUAUUCCCAAUGAGGGCCUAUUUACAGGCAGGAGGAACUCCUCCAAAACCGAAUGGCAGACAAGAAGGUAAGAGAUCUUAAUGGCAACUGGCGGGCGAUAGGGCGUCAGGGAGGUGAUUGGGUCCAGGAGGCAUGGGAAUGCACCAUUGCAGUGUAGAAAAAAAAUCCCUUAGGUGGGUAUAAAGCAUUUUUAUAGAACGGAGAGCGCCACAGUACCAGUGAGUGAUGGACAAAGCCUACAUUGUCGAUGUAAACAUUCAAAAUCUUUCCCCGUGCGUCACACACACCCUGCAGGAUGAUUGAAGGGAAGAGUUUUCUGUUUAAAUAA